AGUGAACGCUGGCGGUAGGCCUAACACAUGCAAGUCGAACGGCAGCACAGUAAGAGCUUGCUCUUACGGGUGGCGAGUGGCGGACGGGUGAGGAAUACAUCGAAAUCUACUUUUUCGUGGGGGAUAACGUAGGGAAACUUACGCUAAUACCGCAUACGACCUACGGGUGAAAGCAGGGGAUCUUCGGACCUUGCGCGAUUGAAUGAGCCGAUGUCGGAUUAGCUAGUUGGCGGGGUAAAGGCCCACCAAGGCGACGAUCCGUAGCUGGUCUGAGAGGAUGAUCAGCCACACUGGAACUGAGACACGGUCCAGACUCCUACGGGAGGCAGCAGUGGGGAAUAUUGGACAAUGGGCGCAAGCCUGAUCCAGCCAUACUGCGUGGGUGAAGAAGGCCUUCGGGUUGUAAAGCCCUUUUGUUGGGAAAGAAAAGCAGCAGGUUAAUACCCCGCUGUUCUGACGGUACCCAAAGAAUAAGCACCGGCUAACUUCGUG
rnacentral:rRNA from 1 species